UACGGAGGGAGCGAGAGGUGGUCGGAAUUACUGGGCGUAAAGCGCACGUAGGCGGCUUUUUAAGUCAGAGGUGAAAGCCCGGGGCUCAACCCCGGAACUGCCUUUGAAACUGGAGAGCUAGAAUCUUGGAGAGGCGAGUGGAAUUCCGAGUGUAGAGGUGAAAUUCGUAGAUAUUCGGAAGAACACCAGUGGCGAAGGCGACUCGCUGGACAAGUAUUGACGCAGAGGUGCGAAAGCGUGGGGAGCAAACAGG
rnacentral:rRNA from 1 species